AACCCAUAUUGUCCACGAUGCUGC
rnacentral:siRNA from 1 species